rnacentral:tRNA from 1 species
CCCGGACUGUUUGAUUAACGGUCUCACCUCAUCAGGCUCAUAACCUGAAGGUCGUAGGUUCAAAUCCUACUCCCGCAACCA